UUUCACACUGUCAAGAAAAGUCUCUAUCGAGGUUAAAGGUACCCGUACCGCAAACCGACACAGGUGGGUGAGGAGAGUAUCCUAAGGCCAGCGAGAGAACUGUUGUUAAGGAACUCGGCAAAAUGACCCCGUAACUUAGGGAUAAGGGGUGCCACCAUCAGGUGGCCGCAGAGAAUAGGCCCAAGCGACUGUUUACCAAAAACAUAGGUUUCUGCUAAGUCGCAAGACGAUGUAUAGGAGCUGACGCCUGCCCGGUGCUGGAAGGUUAAGGGGAUCUGUUAGAGAAUCGAAGCAGUGAACUUAAGCCCCAGUAAACGGCGGCCGUAACUAUAACGGUCCUAAGGUAGCGAAAUUCCUUGUCGGGUAAGUUCCGACCCGCACGAAAGGCGUAACGAUUUGGGCACUGUCUCAACAACAGACUCGGUGAAAUUGUAAUUCCGGUGAAGAUGCCGGAUACCUGCGACAGGACGGAAAGACCCCAUGGAGCUUUACUGUAGCUUGACAUUGGGUCUUGGUACUACAUGUACAGGAUAGGUGGGAGGCUUUGAAACCAGGACGCCAGUUUUGGCGGAGCCAUCCUUGGGAUACCACCCUUGUAGUACUGGGACUCUAACCAUAGGCCAUGAAUCUGGUCUUGGGACACUGUCAGGUGGGCAGUUUGACUGGGGCGGUCGCCUCCCAAAAGGUAACGGAGGCGCUCAAAGGUUCUCUCAGUACGGUCGGAAAUCGUACGUAGAGUGUAAAGGCAAAAGAGAGCUUGAUUGCAAGACAUACAGGUCGAGCAAGGAUGAAAAUCGGACUUAGUGAUCCGGUGGUUCUGCGUGGAAGGGCCAUCGCUCAACGGAUAAAAGCUACCCUGGGGAUAACAGGCUUAUCUCCCCCAAGAGUCCACAUCGACGGGGAGGUUUGGCACCUCGAUGUCGGCUCAUCACAUCCUGGGGCUGUAGUAGGUCCCAAGGGUUGGGCUGUUCGCCCAUUAAAGUGGUACGCGAGCUGGGUUCAGAACGUCGUGAGACAGUUCGGUCCCUAUCCGUCGCAGGCGUAGGAAAUUUGAGAAGACCUGUCCUUAGUACGAGAGGACCGGGAUGGACGUACCUCUGGUGUACCAGUUGUCCUGCCAAGGGCAUGGCUGGGUAGCUAUGUACGGAAUGGAUAAGCGCUGAAAGCAUCUAAGCGCGAAGCCAACUUCAAGAUAAGAUUUCCCACCGCAAGGGUAAGACCCCAGAAAGACUAUCUGGUUGAUAGGUCGAAGGUGUAAGUGCAGCAAUGUAUUUAGCUUAUCGAUACUAAUAGGUCGAGGACUUGACCA
rnacentral:rRNA from 1 species